GACGUAGGAUGCAAGCGUUGUCCGGAUUUAUUGGGCGUAAAGAGUUCGUAGGUGGUUUGUUAAGUCUGAUGUUAAAGACUGGGGCUCAACCUCGGAAAUGCAUUGGAUACUGGCAGACUUGAGUGUGGUAGAGGCAAUCGGAAUUCCAGGUGUAGCGGUGAAAUGCGUAGAUAUCUGGAAGAACACCGGUGGCGCAAGCGGAUUGCUGGGCCAUAACUGACACUGAGGAACGAAAGCUAGGGGAGCAAAUGGG
rnacentral:rRNA from 1 species